AUGACCUCAAAAGUUUGUGAAAUCAGUGUUAAGGCGGCCGACAAAAAUAUGCGUAUUUUCAAGCAUACAGAUGGUCUUUACAAGCAUCUAGAUCAAGUUCCAUAUUCUUCAUACGAGGCCCCGGUUCCCUACAGUUGUUAUACAAACGAGUUCCUCUACAACAAAAUGUGCUCUCUUGAGAAACGCAUGACUACCAGUUUCCAAAACCUCAGCGUAGAGAUUUUAAUCAAAAUUAGGAAACAAAACCAAGCUCAAGUGAAAGAGAGUGAGGAAUAA